CAUUACUGAGUUACCGCUCUACAACCCUUUGUGAACAUACCUAACCGUUGCUUCGGCGGGCAGGGGAAGCCUCUCGCGGGCCUCCCCUCCCGGCGCCGGCCCCACCACGGGGACGGGGCGCCCGCCGGAGGAAACCAAACUCUAUUUACACGACGUCUCUUCUGAGUGGCACAAGCAAAUAAUUAAAACUUUUAACAACGGAUCUCUUGGUUCUGGCAUCGAUGAAGAACGCAGCGAAAUGCGAUAAGUAAUGUGAAUUGCAGAAUUCAGUGAAUCAUCGAAUCUUUGAACGCACAUUGCGCUCGCCAGCAUUCUGGCGAGCAUGCCUGUUCGAGCGUCAUUUCAACCCUCAAGCACCGCUUGGUUUUGGGGCCCCACGGCAGACGUGGGCCCUUAAAGGUAGUGGCGGACCCUCCCGGAGCCUCCUUUGCGUAGUAACUAACGUCUCGCACUGGGAUCCGGAGGGACUCUUGCCGUAAAACCCCCAAAUUCUUUACAGGUUGACCUCGGAUCAGGUAGGAAUACCCGCUGAACUUAAGCAUAUCAAUAAGCGGAG
rnacentral:rRNA from 1 species